rnacentral:rRNA from 1 species
UACGAAGGGUGCAGGCGUUACUCGGAAUCACUGGGCGUAAAGGGCGCGUAGGCGGCGUUUUAAGUCGGGGGUGAAAGCCUGUGGCUCAACCACAGAAUGGCCUUCGAUACUGGGACGCUUGAGUAUGGUAGAGGUUGGUGGAACUGCGAGUGUAGAGGUGAAAUUCGUAGAUAUUCGCAAGAACACCGGUGGCGAAGGCGGCCAACUGGACCAUUACUGACGCUGAGGCGCGAAAGCGUGGGGAGCAAACAGG